rnacentral:rRNA from 1 species
ACUCAAAGGAAUAGACGGGGGCCCGCACAAGCGGCGGAGCAUGUGGCUUAAUUCGACGCGACGCGAAGAACCUUACCAGGGCUUGACAUGCGGGGCGAAGCCGUAGAAAUACGGUCCUCCUUCGGGAGCCCGCACAGGUGUUGCAUGGUUGUCGUCAGCUCGUGCCGUGAGGUGUUGCCUUAAGUGGCGCAACGAGCGCAACCCCUGUCCCAUGUUGCCAGCGGGUAAUGCCGGGGACUCAUGGGAGACUGCCGGUGCCAAACCGGAGGAAGGUGGGGAUGACGUCAAAUCAUCAUGGCCCUUAUGUCCUGGGCUGCACACAUGCUACAAUGCUUGCUACAAAGGGUAGCAAUCCCGUAAGGGUGAGCGAAUCCCAAAAAGGCAAGCUCAGUUCGGAUCGGGGUCUGCAACUCGACCUCGUGAAGCCGGAGUCGCUAGUAAUCGCAGAUCAGCAACGCUGCGGUGAAUACGUUCCCGGGCCUUGUACACACCGCCCGU